CAAAGAGUUCAACUCUACCUU
rnacentral:snRNA from 1 species